UAGGGAAUCUUCCGCAAUGGACGCAAGUCUGACGGAGCAACGCCGCGUGAGUGAAGAAGGAUUUCGGUUCGUAAAACUCUGUUGUUAGAGAAGAACAGCGCAUAGAGUAACUGUUAUGCGUGUGACGGUAUCUAACCAGAAAGCCACGGCUAACUACGUGCCAGCAGCCGCGGUAAUACGUAGGUGGCAAGCGUUGUCCGGAUUUAUUGGGCGUAAAGCGAGCGCAGGCGGUCAAUUAAGUCUGAUGUGAAAGCCCCCGGCUCAACCGGGGAGGGUCAUUGGAAACUGGUUGACUUGAGUGCAGAAGAGGAGAGUGGAAUUCCAUGUGUAGCGGUGAAAUGCGUAGAUAUAUGGAUGAACACCAGUGGCGAAGGCGACUCUCUGGUCUGUAACUGACGCUGAGGCUCGAAAGCGUGGGUAGCAAACAGG
rnacentral:rRNA from 1 species